rnacentral:rRNA from 1 species
UACGGGGGGGGGCAAGCGUUGUUCGGAAUUACUGGGCGUAAAGGGCUCGUAGGUGGCCAACUAAGUCAGACGUGAAAUCCCCCGGCUUAACCGGGGAAUGGCGUCUGAUACUGGAUGGCUUGAGUUCGGGAGAGGGAUGCGGAAUUCCAGGUGUAGCGGUGAAAUGCGUAGAUAUCUGGAGGAACACCGGUGGCGAAGGCGGCAUCCUGGACCGGCAUUGACGCUGAGGCGCGAAAGCUAGGGGAGCAAACGGG